UAUGUGAAGUCGAAGGCUUUCAUGGCCAGCAUCCAUAGUUUUUUGUGGGUUUUUCGAACUAUGUGGCCAUCUUCUAGAACUUGACCACAUAGCCUGAAAAACCCACAAAAACCUAUCUCUGUUCAUACCUUGCAUGCCUGUUUAUCUAUAAUAACACUCAAGAUACUAUGCAAUGUACAAAAAUGGAUAGGAUAUAGUCCCUGUCCUCAGGCUUAAAAGAAACAUCUGAAGAAAAUGGAAGGAAGGCAAAAGAUGUGAAGAAUGAAAUGGAGAAAACCAGAGGCAACAAAAAAGGUCCUGCCUCCUAAGGUGGAGGACCAACAAUCAGCCCUUGUAGUUAUGCCCUUCUUAGGUCUUGUGCCCCCCAUUAGCUGCCAUUUACCUGCUUUGAAUGGGUUGGGCUUGUUCUCUGGAGAAUGACACCAGCUACAUUUUUAAAUUUUUUUAAUUAAGUUUAAAAAUACACAUAAGACAUCAAAUAACAUAAAUUAACAUUUAAACAUUACAGAAGUAACAACAAAGAAAGAUACAGAAGUACAACAACAAAGAACAAUAAGAUUGACUUCCUGGAGUUCGUUCUGAUCUACAGUAGUCUUACUCAGUUAUCCUGAAGUCUUCAAAUAUCAUCUUAAAACAAAGAGAGCAUUCGGGACAUACAUUCGAGAAAUUACUUAAUCUAGAACAUGUCAAUUCCAGUAAAUAAAUUUCUUUCUUCUUUCUUUCAACAGCUUUAUAUUUGUGUGUGUGUGUGUGUGUGUGUGUGUGUGUGUGUGUAUUUGCUGAAGUUAGGUAACUCCUAGGUCCCUUUUAAGAAAUCCAAUAUCUUAUCUGUUUGUCUAUUAUAAUUUAAGCGUUUCUCCUUUUUCUUUUAGAUAAUCUACCAGUAGAAGCCAGCCGUUUUUGGUUUCAUUCCAAUCACCAUUGUUCAAGAUACAGAUCUCCAAGGAUCAAUCAAUGCAAAGCAGUCCAUUAGCUCAAAAAAUGAGCUAGGUUGGUCAAACAAAGGUCUUCUAACUUGCAAGGACUGAUUUUUAGCAGAUUGACUUUGUGUUACAGCCAUGAGCCAUCCACAAACCAACUUAAGGACUACAACUUCCAAGAGCCUCCACUGCGGGUGGGAUCUAGGGGUGUGUCCUGCUGAUUCACUGGGUCCUGGAAGUUUCACAGAAAGAGUUUACACAGCAAUGGGAGAGCAGGCGAGUAGACCUUCUCCUCCAAAGCAUCUCACACAGGUGGAAAUCAACCUAAUAAAUCAAUUCUUCA